rnacentral:lncRNA from 1 species
UUAGCAUCAAGAGCACAAUAAAGAAUAUUCAUUGCUUUAGCAUUUAAUUGGGUCAUUUUCUUAUCAUCCUCAUCCCAUUCUUUCUCGGGUUUGGUUGAUUCCACACCAUCUAUAAUUUUAGUGGGUGUGUGAGGAUCGUUCACUAUGAUACUCCACAUAUCAUAGUCGAGUGCUUGAACGAAUAUUUUCAUCCGAGCUUUUCAAUAGGUGUAAUUAGACCCAUUGAAAAGUGGAGGUCGGUUGGUAGAUUGCCCCUCGGCUAGAGAAGUGCCGACUUGAGUUGCCAUAGAUCUUUGGCUCUUUGAUUGUUUAGAUCAAAGUAGGGCUAGAGCACCGGGCUCUGAUACCACUUGUUGCCCAGCUAUGCAACCCAAGAGGGGGGGUGAAUUAGGUUUCUAAAAAUUUUAAGCUUAACUUAUGACUUAUGAGAAAUGUUUGACAAAGCUAAAUAAAUAUGGAGAGUAAAAUUAAUUCAAGACUAAUGGCUAAGAGCAAGAAUACAAGAGAAUAAUGAAGAGUUAAAGAAGAACAAUUAGACACACCACAAACAAAAGGAUUUAUAGUGGUUCGGUGCCAACCUUGCACCUACAUCCACUCUCCAAGCUCCUACUUGGGAAUUUCAAUCCACU